ensembl:lncRNA
UGGGAUUCCUUUUCUGUAAUCCGAGAGUCGGAAAUAUCGAAUAGGAUAGCAAGGAUAGCAUAAAGUGACAUUUAAAAUCCAAAAAGUCAAGGGCGAAAGCCACUGUGACACCAUUGUUCUGCUCUAUCAGUAAUCUGUAUUAUGUAAAAAUGGUCUGUAAAUACAGCAUGUUUCCUAGCGGAGUUAUACAUAUCAAUGUAGUUAUAAAUUACAGUUUGUGAAAGUACACACUUAAUUUUUUUUAAUAAAAUUAUUCAAGACAUAUGAGUGGACAGACAAUGGAGGUCGACAGACCUGGUGAUAAUUGCUUCUAUAGAAAGUUAGCACAUGGCAGUGUCAAUCUCUUGCUUUUCUUCUGAGUAGUAUUUUAUUUAGUUGUAAUUCAAACAAUAAUUUGCUUCUUGAAAUUAAGUAAUGAAUUUCUUGUUUUACUUUAUAAAUCUCAGAUCCUGCCUUUACCUGCUCCCUCCUAUACUGAUGUGGUGUAUGUGGUAUUGCUGAGCUUGUAUGUGGUGGAAGCAGAAUAUGUGAGGAUUACUACUGCUGCACAUGUUCCAAGGCUUUUUACACAACUUGACCAAUACACUGACCAGCUCAUAAAAGUCUUCAAGAAAAAAGGAGGCGUUGCAGGGAAGAAAAUUAGACAAACUUUGGCCCCAGCCACACAGAAGGAAACCAUUGAAAAGGGGAGGGAGUGUGUCCUCAGGGCACUACCUUUUUACCUGAAUGAAGACCCAAGCAUCCUCUUCAAAGAAUAAUUGCUACAGCUGUUCAGAGGGAGCUGGAACAAAUUACCCUUGCUAUCUUUACCAUCGAAAGAGCUGAUGCCAGCACUCCUCCAGCCG